CAUCUUACUGGGCAGCAUUGGAUGGUGUCAGGUCUCUAAUACUGCCUGGUAAUGAUGAC
rnacentral:pre_miRNA from 1 species